UAAUUUAUGGUCUAAGUUUAGCAACUAUACAGAGAAACUGCGAAAAGGCUCAUUAAAUCAGUUAUCGUUUAUUUGAUAGUACUUUACUACAUGGAUAACCGUGGUAAUUCUAGAGCUAAUACAUGCUAAAAACCCCGACUUCGGGAGGGGUGUAUUUAUUAGAUAAAAAACCAAUGCCCUUCGGGGCUCUAUGGUGAAUCAUAAUAACUUAACGAAUCGCAUGGCCUUGCGCCGGCGAUGGUUCAUUCAAAUUUCUGCCCUAUCAACUUUCGAUGGUAGGAUAGUGGCCUACCAUGGUAUCAACGGGUAACGGGGAAUUAGGGUUCUAUUCCGGAGAGGGAGCCUGAGAAACGGCUACCACAUCCAAGGAAGGCAGCAGGCGCGCAAAUUACCCAAUCCCGACACGGGGAGGUAGUGACAAUAAAUACUGAUACAGGGCUCUUUUGGGUCUUGUAAUUGGAAUGAGUACAAUUUAAAUACCUUAACGAGGAACAAUUGGAGGGCAAGUCUGGUGCCAGCAGCCGCGGUAAUUCCAGCUCCAAUAGCGUAUAUUAAAGUUGUUGCAGUUAAAAAGCUCGUAGUUGAACCUUGGGCCUGGCUGGCCGGUCCGCCUCACCGCGUGUACUGGUCCGGCCGGGCCUUUCCUUCUGGGGAACCGCAUGCCCUUCACUGGGCGUGUGUGGGAACCAGGACUUUUACUUUGAAAAAAUUAGAGUGUUCAAAGCAAGCCUUUGCUCGAAUACAUUAGCAUGGAAUAAUAGAAUAGGACGUGUGGUUCUAUUUUGUUGGUUUCUAGGACCGCCGUAAUGAUUAAUAGGGAUAGUCGGGGGCAUCUGUAUUCAAUUGUCAGAGGUGAAAUUCUUGGAUUUAUUGAAGACAAACUACUGCGAAAGCAUUUGCCAAGGAUGUUUUCAUUAAUCAGUGAACGAAAGUUAGAGAGAU
rnacentral:rRNA from 1 species